GAAGUGAAAAUAGGAAAUGGACAUGAUGCCUUUCUCUAUGGGGAAGGCAAAAGAUGAAAUUUUUGGAAGUAAUUGAAGGAUGUGGUGCAUGAGAGGAUGAUUGUUGGUUUUUUUUUAUUCUAAAUUUUUUAAGAUAAUUGAAUUAGGAAGAAGAAAUGUGGUUUUAGUGAGAAAGAGUAGAAAUUUUUGGUGAUUGGUUUUCACCAUUUAAUUCAGGCAAUUAUCCUAGUUAUAGUUUAUCUUGUAAAUUUGCCACUGUUUAAUGGUUGUCUUUCAUUCCUGAAAUUCCAAAAUAUAUAUGCCCCUUUGAUUCAUUGCCUUGUAUUUUGUGUUUCUCAUCUCUGAAUAUGAAGAUAAAAAACUGUAAAGGUGUUAAAUUGGAUUUUCAUUCACCAGGCUAAGGUGAUCUAAUCAUUUGAGAAAUGUAGUUACAUAUCUAAAAUUGGUACUAUACAUUGUCCGUGAGGUACUUGCUAAGUGCAGGAAGAAUAUUGUGUUCAUGUGCAAGUGACAAGAAUUAAUAAGUAUGUUAAUUACAUAUUCAACCAUAAUUACAUUUUCCAUCCUACAUUGAUAUACUCGGUUUAGAGAUAUAUUUAGAUAUCUAGAUUACUACCAUAUUUUGUACGUAAUGUACUUUCCAUGUGUAGGAAUAAUCUUGCUUGUCACUUAGUCAGUUUUGUCCUUACACAUCUUUAAAGAAGUACCAAUCAUUGUAUGUAAUGUACUUUCUAUUUAUGGGAAGAUAGUAGUUAACUCAGUUGAAAAACGUACUUUCUAUGUAUGGGAAAAAUAUUACUGGUCGCACCUACAUGUCUUUUAAAAGAUAUCUAAAGCACUUUGUAUGAUGUGUAAAAUGUUACUUUGUCACUUGGUUGAUGAACAUACUUGCACAUGUAAAAAGUAAAAAUAUCAAAUUUUAAGUUUACAGUACUUUAUAUGAAUGGGAAAACCUUAGUAACAAGAACACUUAUAAUAAAAGUCAAUUGAGUAUUAUUGUGGUCUUGUAUUUGUUUUCAAUAUCCUGUGUCUAUGGGGAUACGAACAUACAUACAUAUCUUUAAACAAAUACCAAAUCUUAAUCAUAGAGUACUUUUGAUGUAUAAGAAAAAUGUUAUCUACAUAUGGAAUUCAAUAUGAGUGAUGAGAAUAAAUAGUAAAUUUAAAGAUUGCUGUGGUUAUAUUUUUUUCUUGGAUAGCCAUAUUUACCUAUCUUUGACCCCAAGAAAAGAAAAGGGGGGAAAAAAGAAAGGAAAAACCCAAUUUCCAAGUGUAAAGCACUUUCUAUUAUGGGGAAAAUGUUAAUUGAAUCUGCAAUUUAAUACAAGUGAUAUGAAUAAAUAGAAAUUCAACUGAAAAUUAGUAUAUGGUUUUAUAUGUUUUGAAUAGCUUGUGUCUAAGAAGAUAUGAAGUCAAUUACUCAAUCUCUGAUGUCAUGUCCUGUAAGGAAGAGCAUUUACCUCAACUGGUUGUUUCUCUUUAUGUUGUCUACUAUUUGGAUAUGUGCCUAGAUAUUGGCUAUAUAGCUUUAGGGAGUAUAUGAAUGAAGAACAACCCAAUUUGCCAUCCAGUUUGCAUAAAUCUUAAUGGAGUUCUACCUCUGUUGGCUUUGUCAAGUUUCAUUUGUGUUCUGUUCUGAGUUCUGAUCAUUCUGUUCAAGUGUGGCACUUACUUUUGAAAUGUUGUCUUCAUAGACAAGUCCCUUGGUUUUGUAGAUUAUUUCUAUUCCAGCUGAGCAUUUGCUCACAAGGAGCUUAUGAGGAAGGGAAGUUUCAAUUGGAUAUUACAGAGAGGGAAAUCUAAGGGGAAUAUGAGGUGGAGUUUCCAGAGGAAAUUGGGGUUCGUUUUUUGUGGAGGAAGGUGAUGGUGGUGGUGGCAUAAUGGGGUGGUAGAUGGAGAGGUAGAAGGGAAAAGGGAUUCAUUUGGCUGAAUUAGGCCACUUGGGUAUUUUGGUGAUAGAACUUCAUAUUAUGAAAAUUUGUUAUAUUGUAACCAAUCACUUUUUGAAAGUUUCUCAAAAGUUACACCCCACCCAUAAAUUGAAACUCUUCCUCUUCCCUUAUGCCAAAUUUUCCUUUAACAUUUAGGUACACGGCUUUGAGAAACUAAUAUCCAUAUUACACGUUUAUUAAGAGAGGUGAUUCUUUCUCCAUCAUCCACAGCAUAUUAUAUACUUUUUAAACCUAAGCGAGGACUUACUUGCUCCUUAAUUGAUUCCUCCAAGGUUGAGUUACUCUCAUAGAUUUUCAGCUUUCUGCAUCACUGCUUAACUAAUUUUUAAGCUUCCAUCUCACUGCAGAUGGCUUCUGCAAUUAUCUUGUCAAAGAUUCAUUGGGAGUUUUAAGAAGUUAAUUCGGCUUUCUCCAUAUCUGACUGGAGAUGUGAUAGUCUUACAUCUUUUCACAUGAUAUUUCCUUCUCUCUUCCCUCUUCUGGAAUUCUUUUGUGUAGUUUCUCCAUGCUUUCAGGAAAAGGAUACCUUUUUUCCCCACUUUUUUAAAGCAAAUGAUAAGAUGAAGUUGAAGCUGGCAAAGAAAGAAAACUGCAAAAAAUGGUCUACAUAUUCUUCUUGGAGGCGUCUGUGCUUUAACAGUUGUAAUCUUCUUUCGUUUUUUCGUGCUGACAAGAAUCAAGUAUGGACCAGCACGAUAUUGGGCCAUCUUGUUUGUUUUCUGGUUUCUUGUAUUUGGCAUAUGGGCUUCAAGAACACAUGGUUCUCAUGCAACAUGACUUGCAUUUAUUGUGUUACUGCAUUAUCAUUAGCUUUUUCUUUUGUCAUUAUGGGAUUUUCUGGGGGCAGAGUGAACAGUGCAUUUCAUAUUGUUGAAUGAAUCUGUCACAAGUUGUGUUUGGUUCUGUCAUGGAAACAAGUGAAACCAGCUGAAGAUGGUUUCAAGAUGUCAAAAAAUUCCUCUUUUAUGUCUUAAAUGGUGUUCAUGAGCUGUGUUAAAGUAGACCAUAUCCUUUUUUUUCCCCUGGGAGUGGGAAGUUGAGGUUAUUUUGGAGUAAAAGCUUGAUGAUGUGAUUC